rnacentral:rRNA from 1 species
GGAUAUUGCGCAAUGGGGGCAACCCUGACGCAGCAACGCCGCGUGAAGGAUGAAGGUUUUCGGAUUGUAAACUUCUUUUCUCAGGGACGAAUUCUGACGGUACCUGAGGAAUAAGCUCCGGCUAACUACGUGCCAGCAGCCGCGGUAAUACGUAGGGAGCAAGCGUUGUCCGGAUUUACUGGGUGUAAAGGGUGCGUAGGCGGCUUUGUAAGUCAGAUGUGAAAUCUAUGGGCUCAACCCAUAAACUGCAUUUGAAACUACAGAGCUUGAGUGAAGUAGAGGCAGGCGGAAUUCCCUGUGUAGCGGUGAAAUGCGUAGAGAUAGGGAGGAACACCAGUGGCGAAGGCGGCCUGCUGGGCUUUAACUGACGCUGAGGCACGAAAGCGUGGGUAGCAAACA